AAGUAAUGAUUAGAUGGAGGCUCCCUGCAAAAGGGCACCAGGGAGUCGACAGAAGUGGGGCAGACCUCAGGAGAAGAAGCCGAGGCAGGCAAAUACAGACAUGGCAAUCGGAGGCAGCUCACUGAACAAAGGCUGGGAUGUGUCAUUUGUGCCGCUUCUCACAGGAAUUGAACUCAGGACCCUGCGCUUGCCAGGCAAGCGCUUAUUCUACUGAGCCAUCUCCCCGGCCUGGACUACAUAUGUAUGGACUAAUCAGCCAAGAUGAAUAUCAUUAUUAUGUAUUGUAACAUAUAAUAAUAAAAUAUUUUUAAAUAUAAAACAAAUUAUGAUAGGGAGAUGGAAAUGUUAAUUACCUGAUUU